GACGAACGCUGGCGGCGUGCUUAACACAUGCAAGUCGAACGGAAAGGCCCUGCUCUUGUGGGGUGCUCGAGUGGCGAACGGGUGAGUAACACGUGUGUAAACUGUCCCUGACUUUGGGGUAACAUCAGGAAACUGGGGCUAAUAUCGGAUAGGAGCUCCUGCUGCACGGUGGGGGAUGGAAAGUUUCGGCGGUUGGGGAUGGACUCGCUGCUUAUCGGCUUGUUGGUGGGGUAGUCGAUUACCAAGGCUUUGACGGGUAGCCGGCCUGAGAGGGUGACCGGCCACCUUGGGCCUGCGAUAGGGCCCAGAAUCCUACGGUAGGCAGCAGUGGGGAAUCUUGCGCAAUGGGCGGAAGCCUGAUGCAGCAGCGCCGCGUGCGGGAUGACGGCCUUCGGGUUGUAAACCGCUUUCGCCUGUGACGAAGCGUGCGUGACGGUAAUGGGUAAAGAAGCACCGGCUAACUACGUG
rnacentral:rRNA from 1 species